UACAGAGGGUGCGAGCGUUGUUCGGAAUUAUUGGGCGUAAAGCGCUUGUAGGUGGCACGUCAAGUCGCGUGUGAAAUCCCCAGGCUUAACCUGGGAAGUGCGCGCGAAACUGACGAGCUUGAGUGCCGGAGAGGGUCGCGGAAUUCCCGGUGUAGAGGUGAAAUUCGUAGAUAUCGGGAGGAACACCAGUGGCGAAGGCGGGCGAC
rnacentral:rRNA from 1 species